ensembl:snRNA U6 U6 spliceosomal RNA
GUGCUUGCUUUGGCAGAACAGAUACUGAAACUGGAAUCAUACAUAAAAGAGUAACAUGACUCCUGCACAAGGACGACACAAAUUCGUGAAGCAUUCCAUAUUUUU